AACCAGUGAGCAAUCUCUCCAACCCUGAAUCCACUUUCUCCUCAUUAUGGUCCACGGGAAUUUGAACUGAAGUAAAGCUGCAAGACAGAAAUAAUAAUAGCCUCUACUCUACAGCCACGUUGAGAGAGUAAAACGGUCUGAUUUACAUCAGUUGCUUAAAAUCAUGCAGUUUCUGCACAGCAUUAAAGUUCUUCCUUGGAAAUGCUGGCUCUCUGUAUUAGAAGGACUCGAUGGCUUAAGGAAGUCAUGCAGCUCUGGGAUCACAUACAUAGUGAAGAUGGGUCUCUCUUAGAUGCCAGUGGAGUGAUGAAGUCGUUGACAUUUGGUGAUGGACUUACUAUGAUGCCUUCAAGAUUCUCCCAUGUUCUAGCAAUGUGAAAGAACCAUCUUUUUAAGUUGAGUAAUACUCCACUAUCUUCUCAACAUCAUGCGCAUCCAUCAGCUGAUGGAGAAACCUUGCUCUUAUCUUAGCUAUGGGGAAUAAUGCUCUUCUAUGCACAGAUGUGCAAAUAUCCCUAGCUUUUGAUUCUUUUCGAUGUAAUAACCAGAAGCAUGAUUGCUAGAUCAUAUCAUAAUGUCAUUGUUAACAUUAUGAGGAACAACUGUCAGACUGGUUUUCAUGAAGGUUUCCUACCAACAGUAUACAAAGUUUAAAUUCUUCCCUUCCCUCAUUAACACUAAGACUUUAUAUUUUGUGUAUGUAGGCUUUUUGUUGUUUUGUUUUAGUAAAACAUAAGGGGUAUGAGGGUCCAUUUCAUGGUGGUUUUCCGAUUAAUGAUAUUUUUAGCAAUUUCUUCCUUAUGCUUUCUGGAGGAAUAAUUUCAAAAGUCACAGGAAUAAAAAGUCUAUGGAUGAUAUUUAAUACAUGGCUCUGGGGCAAAUGGGUAAUUAUAAAUCCAUUUUCAGGAUAAAGGAGUUUUUGUUUAGCUUGUGAACACUUAAUAUUUACUAUUUUGGGGACAGCAAGAUUGCUCCCCAGGUGAAGGGACGGUUGAUCAGUUUCCAGAUAUCUCUUCUGUCUCACAAUUCUUAUUGGUUCUUUAUUUGAUUUAGUUGGUGCUUAGAAUUUCAUUGUUUUGUUUUGGGUGAUUCAGUACUGCGCCAAAGUUUGCAGAGUUUUAGGGAAAGGCAACAAUGCCUCACAUUUCUCUUGUAUAUUGUAGAAAUAAAGGCCAUAGUUGCCAACACU
ensembl:antisense Gm14582 predicted gene 14582